GGAUUAGAUACCCUGGUAGUCCACGCCGUAAACGAUGGAUACUAGCUGUUGGGGGUAACUUCAGUGGCUAAGCGAAAGUGAUAAGUAUCCCACCUGGGGAGUACGUUCGCAAGAAUGAAACUCAAAGGAAUUGACGGGGGCCCGCACAAGCGGUGGAGCAUGUGGUUUAAUUCGAUGAUACGCGAGGAACCUUACCAAGGCUUAAAUGUAGAUUGACCGUUUUGGAAACAGAAUUUUCGCAAGACAAUUUACAAGGUGCUGCAUGGUUGUCGUCAGCUCGUGCCGUGAGGUGUCAGGUUAAGUCCUAUAACGAGCGCAACCCCUGUUGUUAGUUGCCAGCGAGUAAGGUCGGGAACUCUAACAAGACUGCC
rnacentral:rRNA from 1 species